UUGAAAGGGAAACGAUUGAAGUCAGNGUNNUNNGGUAAGCCUUUUGGGUGGAUUUGUGGGGUUUGAGGAGNUUUAANGCUAUNUUUGAUAUUGUGANUUGGGUGUAUUUCGUGUGGUUGGUUAACAUCAAUUUCGGUCAUAAAAUGGCUGGAAGAAUGUAGCUGANUUGUAUUGAAGUGUUAUAGCCUGGUAGAUGUGGUGAUGAGAUUGAGGAUUNAACGGAUACCCUUCGGGGCUACCUGUCUGAUCUCUGAUCGUUGUUUUGGUGCUGAAAGCUUGCUUACGGUUAUCAAAGUCGAUGGUCAAUAGGUUAGAAUGGGUUAAAUUCGUUAAGGAUGUUGACGUA
rnacentral:rRNA from 1 species